AAUUUAAAUUAUGUAUGUGGCUGUCAUAUUUCUGCAGAAAUUUAGAGAAAGCUGGCAAUAGUAAAGCCAUGUUACAAACCUUAAAGACACAGAAGUCAUAAAGGUGUCUGAAAAUGGCUACAGGG